rnacentral:rRNA from 1 species
GUAUAAGCAAAUUAUACCGUGAAACUGCGAAUGGCUCAUUAAAUCAGUUAUCGUUUAUUUGAUAGUAUCUUACUACUUGGAUAACCGUGGUAAUUCUAGAGCUAAUACAUGCUAAAAGCCCUGACGUCAGAAGGGGUGUAUUUAUUAGAUUAAAAACCAAUGCCCUUCGGGGCUCGAUGGUGAUUCAUAAUAACUUAACGAAUCGCAUGGCCUUGUGCCGGCGAUGGUUCAUUCAAAUUUCUGCCCUAUCAACUUUCGAUGGUAGUAUAUGGGACUACCAUGGUUUCAACGGGUAACGGGGAAUUAGGGUUCUAUUCCGGAGAGGGAGCCUGAGAAACGGCUACCACAUCCAAGGAAGGCAGCAGGCGCGCAAAUUACCCAAUCCCGACACGGGGAGGUAGUGACAAUAAAUACUGAUACAGGGCUCUUUUGGGUCUUGUAAUUGGAAUGAGUACAAUUUAAAUCCCUUAACGAGGAACAAUUGGAGGGCAAGUCUGGUGCCAGCAGCCGCGGUAAUACCAGCUCCAAUAGCGUAUAUUAAAGUUGUUGCAGUUAAAAAGCUCGUAGUUGAACCUUGGGCCUGGCUGGCCGGUCCGCCUCACCGCGUGCACUGGUCCGGCCGGGUCUUUCCUCCUGGGGAGCCGCAUGCCCUUCACUGGGUGUGUCGGGGAACCAGGACUUUUACUUUGAAAAAAUUAGAGUGUUCAAAGCAGGCCUAUGCUCGAAUACAUUAGCAUGGAAUAAUAGAAUAGGACGUGUGGUUCUAUUUUGUUGGUUUCUCGGACCGCCGUAAUGAUUAAUAGGGAUAGUCGGGGGCAUCAGUAUUCAAUUGUCAGAGGUGAAAUUCUUGGAUUUAUUGAAGACUAACUACUGCGAAAGCAUUUGCCAAGGAUGUUUUCAUUAAUCAGCGAACGAAAGUUAGGGGAUCGAAGACGAUCAGAUACCGUCGUAGUCUUAACCAUAAACUAUGCCGACUAGGGAUCGGGCGAUGUUAUUUUUUUUGACUCGCUCGGCACCUUACGAGAAAUCAAAGUCUUUGGGUUCUGGGGGAGUAU